rnacentral:lncRNA from 1 species
CCUCUUUGCCCUCUUAGGCAACUUCUCUGGUCCUCUGUGUCAUUCCUGACUACUUUAAACCUAGUCACUACUUCUUCAAGGAUAAUGAAUGUCCCUUCGUGAUGGCUGUCUUAAGAGUUGGAACCAGGAGCAGAGUCAGAGUCAGCAGGAAACCCCAGCCAGGCAUCCGGCUCAGAGCCCCACUGGAUGGCUCAUCAUGCCCUAACCCAGGGUCAGAAGCCUGACCAUGAAAAGAGAGAGAUAUUUGAGGAGGAGCACAGGAAAGAACAAAGAUGGAGGUUAUGAAAGCUAAAUUCUGGCCUCAGCUUUACCAAUAUCCAUUUGGCUGACCUGGAGCUUUAUCAUCUCUACCUUUAAUCACAUGAAUCUCAAAUUACCUUCUAUUUUAGAACAGAGUUGCUCUGAUAAGGGAUUGUUGUGGUACAAAAUUGGAAGAGGAAACAAGACAGGAGACUUUUGCAGUGGUUCGGACAAAGGAUAACAGUGGCUCUAAUUGGGGUCAGAACAUUGGAGAUGAGAAGCUACAAGAACUGCUACAUAAAAUCUAAGUCUGCUUUCUUCUUGUCCCUCAAUAAAUACCUUCUCUGAAAGCUCCAGAG